rnacentral:rRNA from 1 species
UACGUAGGGUGCGAGCGUUAAUCGGAAUUACUGGGCGUAAAGUGUGCGCAGGCGGCCGAGCAAGUCGAGUGUGAAAGCCCCGAGCUUAACUUGGGAACUGCGCUCGAAACUACUUGGCUAGAGUGUGGCAGAGGGAGGUGGAAUUCCACGUGUAGCGGUGAAAUGCGUAGAGAUGUGGAGGAACACCGAUGGCGAAGGCAGCCUCCUGGGCCAACACUGACGUUUAUGCACGAAAGCGUGGGGAGCAAACAGG